UACGUAGGGGGCAAGCGUUGUCCGGAAUCAUUGGGCGUAAAGCGCGUGUAGGCGGCUUUGCAAGUCGGGUGUGAAAUCCCACGGCUCAACCGUGGAAGUGCACUCGAAACUGCAAGGCUAGAGUCCUGGAGAGGAAGGUGGAAUGCUUGGUGUAGAGGUGAAAUUCGUAGAUAUCAAGCGGAACACCGGUGGCGAAGGCGGCCUUCUGGACAGUGACUGACGCUGAGACGCGAAAGCGUGGGGAGCAAACAGG
rnacentral:rRNA from 1 species